rnacentral:rRNA from 1 species
UCUACGGGUGGCAGCAGUGAGGAAUAUUGGUCAAUGGGCGUAAGCCUGAACCAGCCAAGUCGCGUGAGGGAUGAAGGUUCUAUGGAUCGUAAACCUCUUUUAUAAGGGAAUAAAGUGUGGGACGUGUCCUAUUUUGUAUGUACCUUAUGAAUAAGGAUCGGCUAACUCCGUGCCAGCAGCCGCGGUAAUACGGAGGAUCCGAGCGUUAUCCGGAUUUAUUGGGUUUAAAGGGUGCGUAGGCGGCCUUUUAAGUCAUCGGUGAAAGUCUGUGGCUGAACCAUAGAAUUGCGGUUGAACCUGGGGGGAUUGAGUAUGUUUGAGGCAGGCGGAAUGGGUGGUGUAGAGGUGAAAUGCUGAGAUAUCACGCAGAACCCCGAUUGCGAAGGCAGCCUGCCAAGCCAUGACUGACGCUGAUGCACGAAAGCGUGGGGAGCAAACAGGAUUAGAUACCCCAGUAGUC